CGGUAGGAGCCCUUGCUUCAGCCUCUGAACUGACACUUGUCCUUAGUCCUGAAUUGACACUACUUCAGUUCCUGACUACUGCAGUGUAAGACUUCUCAGACCUACAAAUGCUGCGAAGAGUUGGGAGAUACUCAAGUAUGCUGGCUUGCUUAUUUCCAAGGUUCAAAGGAGUUCUGGAAAAUACAGUUCUGAUGACUGCCAGCCUCUUCUGUGCUUUUUUGUGGAUGCUAAAAUAAAGAAUGAAGCUUUAUA